rnacentral:rRNA from 1 species
CUACGGGACGCUCCAGUGGGGAAUAUUGCACAAUGGGCGCAAGCCUGAUGCAGCCAUGCCGCGUGUAUGAAGAAGGCCUUCGGGUUGUAAAGUACUUUCAGCGGGGAGGAAGGGAGUAAAGUUAAUACCUUUGCACAUUGACGUUACCCGCAGAAGAAGCACCGGCUAACUCCGUGCCAGCAGCCGCGGUAAUACGGAGGGUGCAAGCGUUAAUCGGAAUUACUGGGCGUAAAGCGCACGCAGGCGGUUUGUUAAGUCAGAUGUGAAAUCCCCGGGCUCAACCUGGGAACUGCAUCUGAUACUGGCAAGCUUGAGUCUCGUAGAGGGGGGUAGAAUUCCAGGUGUAGCGGUGAAAUGCGUAGAGAUCUGGAGGAAUACCGGUGGCGAAGGCGGCCCCCUGGACGAAGACUGACGCUCAGGUGCGAAAGCGUGGGGAGCAAACAGGAUUAGAUACCCGAGUACUC